AUUGAACGCUGGCGGCAGGCCUAACACAUGCAAGUCGAACGGUAACAGGAAACAGCUUGCUGUUUCGCUGACGAGUGGCGGACGGGUGAGUAAUGUCUGGGAAACUGCCUGAUGGAGGGGGAUAACUACUGGAAACGGUAGCUAAUACCGCAUAACGUCGCAAGACCAAAGAGGGGGACCUUCGGGCCUCUUGCCAUCGGAUGUGCCCAGAUGGGAUUAGCUAGUAGGUGGGGUAACGGCUCACCUAGGCGACGAUCCCUAGCCGGUCUGAGAGGAUGACCAGCCACACUGGAACUGAGACACGGUCCAGACUCCUACGGGAGGCAGCAGUGGGGAAUAUUGCACAAUGGGCGCAAGCCUGAUGCAGCCAUGCCGCGUGUAUGAAGAAGGCCUUCGGGUUGUAAAGUACUUUCAGCGGGGAUGAAGGGAGUAAAGUUAAUACCUUUGCUCAUUGACGUUACCCGCAGAAGAAGCACCGGCUAACUCCGUG
rnacentral:rRNA from 1 species